rnacentral:rRNA from 1 species
AAAGGAAUUGACGGGGGCCCGCACAAGCGGAGGAACAUGUGGUUUAAUUCGAUGAUACGCGAGGAACCUUACCCGGGCUCGAACGGUGCAGGAAUAUGGUAGAGAUAUCAUAGCUAGCAAUAGUCUGUAUCGAGGUGCUGCAUGGUUGUCGUCAGCUCGUGCCGUGAGGUGUCGGCUUAAGUGCCAUAACGAGCGCAACCCUUGUCGUUAGUUGCCAUCAGGUCAAGCUGGGAACUCUAACGAGACUGCCACCGUAAGGUGUGAGGAAGGGGGGGAUGACGUCAAAUCAGCACGGCCCUUACGUCCGGGGCGACACACGUGUUACAAUGGUAGGUACAGAGGGCCGCUAACCAGCGAUGGUGUGCAAAUCUCAAAAACCUAUCUCAGUUCGGAUCGGAGUCUGCAACUCGACUCCGUGAAGUUGGAUUCGCUAGUAAUCGCGCAUCAGCCAUGGCGCGGUGAAUACGUUCCCGGGCCUUGUACACACCGCCCGUCAAGCCAUGGAAGCUGGGGGUGCCUGAAGUUCGUGACCGCAAAGGAGCGACCUA